AUGUGGAUGAAAAAGAAGCACGUGGCAGUUACACAAAGUGCUGUCACUAUAGCCUUACUUCCGUUAUUGCAAGUCGAGAAACCAAACCUUGAAGAGCUGUGUCUAGGGUCACACAGCCAGGAAUUUGUCGGCUUGAGGGCAGGGCUAGGCAUUGAGGGACAGUGGGACUUGGAUGAGCAGAUGCAGCAGGGAGAGAGCUCCUGGGCUAGACAAGGAGAAGAUGGUACAGAAUUGCCAGCAGGGGACCGUGGAUAUUCUAAGUGUGGUGAAGAGUGAGGAUGGAAUUCUGUGAUGAUCCUGCACUUAAAGGACUAUUUAUUAAGGAAGAAGAGCUGCCAGUGGAAUUGGAAAAAGAGCAGUUGGAAGUGGGAGGAGAGACCAUCGUCAUGUAUGAAACGGUCAGAGUGAAAAUAAUUACAGGCAGCGGAAAGGUAAAUUACAACAAUUAUUUUUCAUGAAAAAUAUUUUAUCUUUUAAUAUGAGAAAAGAGAAAAGUCAUAUUUUUAAAAGAAAAUAAUAGAACACCAGACUAAAUGAUAAUGUAUUGUUAAGGAAUUAUAAAUUUUGUCCCACGAAAAAUUAUUUGGAAUGAAAAAAUAUGAAAAGUGAGAGCUUCUUCAUGUAUAUGUACAUAGUAUUUAUAAAAUAGCUCCAUAAUUUUUCUCUUUUGCCUGUAAAUUCAAAGUGUGGGAAACAUAAAAUUUAAUCUUUACUUUAAAAAGAGACAGAUAACUGUGAAAAAGACAAAUAUUCCCUUUUCUUUGAUAUAUUACAAGCCAUUAAAAUUUUUAGAGACAGUUUCUGAAGAGAGGUUUUUAGGAAGGUAUGAAGUGAUUCUUGGAAGGUAGGAGGUGAUUCUUAGAAGUUUCCAGGAGAGUGGUGGUGGAAGAAACCAGACUGCAAUGAGUGACGGGUUUAGAGCGGGCGGGCAGCAUGUUUUUGGAAUUCCGCUGCAGUGAAAAGAAAAGAGAAAGAAUCAUUCUUAGGGGGGAAGGGACUUGAGCUUGUCUGUAGAGAAAAGAAGCCUGAGUGAUUAAGAUGCAGUUACAGCUGCGAAAAUGGUCAAGUACCUUGUUGGAAAAGCCAAGGAAAGCAGAGCGUCAGAUAGAAGGGAAGCCUAGUUCUCUGUGGCCAGAGAUGGAAGGACAGUGAGAUGGGUAAAAAUGAGAAUGAUUGGUGGGAUAUGUUCAGGUCUGAAGACCUCUUCUAGAACUUUCUAUAUUGAUGGGCUUAGAAGUCUUAGGAAGAUACUAGGACAAAGCUCUGCUCCUCCCCCUCAACCCCAAAACCUAGCAAAACCCCCAAAACCUGCAGGAGGAAGUUGAACCUGCGGGCAUUCAGUCUUUUAGCUGAGAUUCCAUGGUUCAAGGAAGAUUUCAACCUUGAGCCAAAUGCAGAGUUCAAAGUGAGUUUUCUGUGGGCUUCCUGGGAUUCUGAGUAUUUAUUACAGCGUUUGUGGAAGCUAGGUUUUCAGAGGAUGCCAGUAAAUGAAGAUUCCUGGGCUCUAAGGCAUUGGCUUAAAGGAACCUUCUACACUGCCAUUAAGCAUGCUUGUUCCUUUAUUACGCAUUACAUUUUUCCCUCAUAGCCCCCCAAAGUCUUCCUGGUUGGAAAGCCAGGAAAUAGUUCAUUGUUUCUUCAAAGCGGAAGCGAUAGCGCUUCCUAACAGUAAGUCUCUGCCAUUCCAGUUAAGAGUCCUCAUUUUUAAAACCUGCUGGGGCUUUCCUUGCAGAGAAGGGAAAAACCCCACUGCAUAUACAGCUGAAAGUUUACCACAGCCCCUGCUGAUAUCAGAGGUAUUUUAAUAAAAUCCAGCAUAGAAACA
rnacentral:lncRNA from 1 species